rnacentral:lncRNA from 1 species
UUCCUCUUCCUUCUCUUUAGCUUCCUUCUCGGCCUUCACCCUCGCUUCUUCCUUGGCGGUCUCAAGGGCCUGAAUCAAAUUCUCCAAACAAGCUGUCCCAGGAUCAUCAGUACUGAUGGACUUGGGCAUCAAAUUUUCCGCAACGUCAGCAGGAGUCAUAUUGGUUUCCUCCAACAAGUUACGGAUGCUUGCAAACAAAUGGUGGGAGUCCAGAUCCAAGUAAUUCUUAGCAAGCACCUUGAAUGCUUCAAAGCAACAGUAGGAUAAUUCUAUGUGCUUGUCCAUCCUCCCUCUCCUUAUGAGAGCAGGAUCAAGUUUUUCCACGUGAUUGGUGGUGAAAACUAUGAGUCUCUCUUCGCCACAAGCUGACCACAGCCCAUCAAUAAAAUUCAGAAGCCCGGAUAGAGUAACCUUGCUUUCUUUGCUUUCACCUUCUUUCCCCUUCUUAGGAAUUGGAUUAUCCUUGGACUCUUCGUCCUCCUCUUCCUUUUCCUUCUUUUUCUUACGUUGGCCUGUGAGGUCAAGCGAACAGUCGAUGUCCUCUAUCACAAUGAUGGACUUACUCGUUGUCUCGAUCAGUAGCUUCCGCAGCUCCGUGUUGUCCUUAACUGAAGUGAGUUCAAGAUCAUAGAUAUCAUAAUUCAAAAGGUUAGCCAUGGCAGCAAUCAUGCUUGACUUGCCAGUUCCUGGAGGACCAUGAAGGAGAUACCCUCGCUUCCAAGCCUUCCCAAUUUUUUAAUAAUAAUCUUUCCUCGUGCGGAAGAUGGUGAGAUCAUUAACAAUUUCCUCCUUCUUCUUUGACUCCAUUGCUAGAGUCUCAAAAGUGGCUGGGUGCUCAAAGGCUACAUGACUCCACUCUGACUUUUUGCGCCCAUACCAUUUCUGACUUGGACUGUUAGUGUAGAGCUUCCGCUGCCGAUUUCUGACUGCAAUUGCCUUCCCCUCCUUUAUCACAUGAUUGAGAUAAGACCCCACGAUCAAAUCUCGGUACUGUUUAUGGAAAGUGAGCCUAUAGUACCUCUUCUCAUCAGCAGUAGGAUAAAAAGAAAUGGUCUGCAUUUUAGGGAGACUUUUAUUGGAAGCCCACCAAAGCUUGACCCCAUGGAAUUCAUCCGUGACUUCUUCAUGGUCAUCCAUGCUGAGGACUACAGAUUGGCUGUCUUUGACGAUAUCUGCCUUGAGCCGCUUGGCCCGGGUAGAUGAAUUGGCACUGAGGUAGUUCUCAAUGGCAGCAUAGGCUUCGCUGCGCUUGCGUCUGAAGCUAUUUUCAGUGAACUCCUGGACAGUGAUUUGAAUGUAAGGAUACACAAAGCUCACCAAGUUGUGGCUGUACUUUUCCAUAUAGGGCCGGAGCUGGUGAGGGAAGUAUUGCUGAAACAUGGCCCAGAGAAACACUGCCCCAGCAGCUACUGAGCCUAGUUGAGCAAACAUCUCGCCCAUCACCAUCUUCUUCUCCAAAGUUUUCGAGUAUCAGUAGUAAAAUGUGUUUGUAAGGAUUGAGCGUUGCUUGCCCAUUAUAUAGAGGAGCAAAACCGACCACUGAUAUUCAUCAUCUCACAAGUUCUACCGUGUCUCCUACUCUGUGGCUACCAGCUAACGACGACAUUUCAAGUUGUAUUUUGUGCCUUCGUCCACAAGGAAGAUUCCCACCGUGGAAUAGGUGUGGAAAUCUUAUUGUAAAGACCAGAUAAUAAGAAACAUCCCUCUCUACUGGUCAUAAUCGUGUCCCAACUUCAAAGUCUUUAACACAACUCGCAAGGCAGUUGAUAACUACAUUAAUUGUCGUCCACAUACACCUUUAAAAAAGGUAAAAGAAUAUUUAAAUUUAGUCAAUUGUUCCACAUUUUUCUUUUUGGCAUUUCUCCCAUUUAAUUUUCUUCUAUUCUCAACGUGUACAUUGGGUUGAUGGCAAUCAGCUGAUGUCAUCAAUUUUUUUCAAAUGCCUAAAUUGCCCUUAUUAUAAUUAAUUUUAAUUAACAUAUAAAUUAUCUUAAUUAGUUUAAAUUAAUCAUAAUCAACAUUAAAGUAAUCCAUACAUUUAAUUUCAAAUAAAAAUAAAUUAGUUCUUAAAUAUAUUUUAAUCAAACAUAAAUCAAAUUAAUUAAUUAAUUAAUAACUAACACCAUAAGAUCUUUUAUCUUAUUGGAUCAAAAAAUCUCAUUUUUCAAUCUCACUUUUAUUUUUCAAAUGUUUAUCUUAUUUUCUUAUUAUCUCAAAUUAUUAAAAUUUCUCCCUCUAAAAUUCGUACUCUAGAAUUUAUAAAUUUUGGACUCCAAAAUUUUGUUAAUUUUGGAUUAUGAAAUUUCAUUAUUUUCCAAGAUUUGAAUUUUAUAAUAUUUGUAACAUUAGGUAUUUGGGUUUUUAAAAUCUCUCCAACUUUGUCCCCAUAUUUGUAUCUCACCUUAUUGUGUAAAUUUUUCAUUUGGCGAUUUUCUUUUCUUUUUAAAUUAUUUUUGUAAUCCCAUCAACCUCCUUUGUAUUUCGAUAUUUUGGUCUUUCUUAACCAUCUUCUCUAUUUAUAUAUAUAUAAAUAGACUACAAAGUAAAAUACCUAUAAAUUUGAUUAAAAGAUGAAUUCUAAUAAUCUUUAGAACCAAACUUUAUAAUAUUUUUUUAAAAAAAUUGACUAUCAAAUUAUCAACUUUAUAUUAUAAAUAUAUUUCUUAAUUAAACAAUUUGUCCAUUUCCUCUAUUUGCCUCCUAGUCUAUCUAUGAUUCUCCUCUUGGUCUUUCUAUAAUUCCAUCCAUGAAAUUUGGUUUCUUUUUUGUUUGUAUUUACAUAAGUUUUGAGUUUAAUAUUUCUUAAAGCUUGAGAAAUUAUAGUAAAUAAAUAAAUAGAAUUAGAGUCUGAAAACAAUUUUAAAAAAUAAUUUUUAAAAUAUUUUUAAUUAUUUUAAGUUUUUUUUAAGAAUAUAAAAAAAAAGAUGAUGUAUUAUAUACUUUUAUAUAAUAAGAAAUAUCCCUCAUAAUUUUAAUAGUUGUUCCAAAUAAUUUAUCAAAAAACAUCUAAAUUUUGUUUUUAAAAAGAUCAUUUUCAAUGGAAAGUAAUGGUAUUUUCGAAGUAAGAAAAAAAAAUUGUCCUAAAGAAUAGAACUUUAUUUUCACGAAAACUUUCUAAACAGGCCUAGGAUUUUUGAAAGAAAAGGAAAGGUACUGACGGUUUUUCCACCAAAUUUAAAAGAAAAAUGAUAAAAAUUAAAGAUGAAAAAAGAUAAAAGAGUUGUGGGCCGACCCACCAGCACGGCAAAGCCCGUCCCAAGGGAUUAUGGACCAUACUGGGCUGUCCAUUUGUCUUGGACGAGCCGGCGGGUUGCGCAGCCCGUUGGAACGGUCCGUUUUACGGGGACAUGAUUUCAGCAACUCAUUCUUGUCUUUUAAUUUUUAUUUUUUUUUUUGGAAAUAAAGGCGGAAAAAUGAUGGAAAAAAACCGUUGUUUUACACGGUUUGGACGAACAAAAUUUGGAAACUUCUAUAUCACCCUUUACUAAAUUAUAUGAAUUAUAAUAUACUCUAUUUAUAAAAGUUUACGGAAAUAUUAAUAUACACUUUAUUAAUAAUUUAUGGAAUUGUAAUUCGGUGUGUCUAACUUAACCUAAAAGGGUUGGGACAGAUUAAAGGAGGUCUUUGAAAACUCUCGAGGACCAAAAAAAACCCAAACAAAAAUCUCUGAUCCUUGGGUUUUUCUUUGCCAAAGCAAGAUCCUUCAAACCAGACCCACCACAAUAACACAGGAAUGGAAAAAAUUAGGGACAAUUGUGUUUUGGAUCCAUCUGGGCCCAAAAAUUAAGAUAUAACCCAUAAAAGUUACAUAAUUGAGGAGAAGGAUAUAAAACGUGAAAAGACCAAUAUACACUUCAAAACUAUUUUGAAUAUUUUCUACCAUAAUGUUUAACAAACUUUUUUAUCUUAAUUUUUUUUAAUAAUUAUUCUGAAAAUUUAUUAUUUUUAGAAAACUAAUUAUUUUAAAAAAUAUAUUCUAAAAAUAUAUCAUUUAAAAAAAAAAAUUUGACAUAUUUUUAGUUAUUUUUUACAUACAUAAUUUUAAAAAUAUAUAUUUUUUAAUAUGUUUGAUUUUUAAAUAAUAAUAAUAAUAAUUUAUUUAUAUUUUUUUGAAAAAUAGUGUAUUUUUUUCCAAAUCACUAAAUUAAAUUAAAUUUUAUUGAGGUUUAUAAAAUGAAUAAAAUUUAAAUUAAUGUUUUUCUACUCUAUUUUUUUUUAUAGUCAAUAAAGGUAAUUUUUGGAAAGAUAAAAAAUCUAUAUCCUUCUUCUCAAUUUUCACACUUUCUCUAAGUCUUGGACUUAAAUUGUGAACUUAUAUAGACCAAAGCUUAAUUUUUGAACCCAACUAGAUCCAAAACACAAUUGUCCCAAAAAAUUAUUUAAAGAGCUAAAGGCUUUGAUACCAUAGAAACUUUUCUCAAUAAAAUUUUAUAGACCAUUCUAUUAAACUUUGAUUAAUGAACAUCAAACACGCAUAUGCAUACAAGUACAUGAAUGAUCUAAAGCCAAUACUACGCAAUCAGAGAAACAUAUUCGCAGCCCAUGAUGUCGAUUGUGGUUAGACUACUCCAUUUUCUUUCACUGCCACACCACUCUCACUCUCUUUUUCACCUAACAUUUCCUUCUUUUUCACUUCUCCAGCAGUUGCCUCCUUCUCCUUCCCUUCUUUCCCGCCCUUUAACCUCUCUUCUUCCUCUUCCUUCUCUUUAGCUUCCUUCUCGGCCUUCACCCUCGCUUCUUCCUUGGCGGUCUCAAGGGCCUGAAUCAAAUUCUCCAAACAAGUUGUCCCAGGAUCAUCAGAUGGACUUGGGCAUCAAAUUUUCCGCAACAUCAACAGGAGUCAUAUUGGUUUCCUCCAACAAUCUGCGGAUGCUUGCAAACAAAUGGUGGGAGUCAAGAUCCAAGUAAUUCUUAGCAAACACCUUGAAUGCUUCAAAGCAACAGUAGGAUAAUUUAUUAUUAGUGAAUUAAUUUGAAAUUUAUUAAUUUGGGUUUGUGGGCAUAUUGUAUUUGGUGAUUAAUUUAAGGAUAUUUGGAUUAUAUUAAUUGUAAACUGUUUAUUUGGAUUUGGGCUUAUUGUUUAAGUUGUUAUUUGUUUGGGUUUAAAAUAUUAUUUCUCUUGAUCAUGUAUUUUUUUUUUAUGUGAGCUUGUUAAUUUAUGUGAAUUUUGGGGCUCAUAAUGUAGAUGAGAUUUAUUGGAUUAUUUAAAUAUUUUAUAUGGGUUUGAUCAAUUUGAAUUAUUUAAUUUAGAUAUGAGACAAUUGUGGUGUAUAUUAAAUUAAGCUUAGAUUAUGAAAUAUUAAAUUUAUGUUUAGUAGAAUUUAUUUUAAUUGGGUUGUGUUGUUGGAAGGGAGAUGUGGUGGAGUGCUGUGAAGGAGGAAGAAGAAGGAGAAGAAGAAAAAAAAUCUGGGCCCGCGUGGGAGUUCGGGGGAGAAGAGAAAAGGAAAAAAUAUGGGAAGAUGUCAGGGUGGGGUGCCGGAGGAAAGAAAAAAAAUGAGGGGGGAAGGGAGGCUGGCGAAAAGCCAGGGACCCCACCCAAAAAAAUUGGGGGCACUCGUUUCUCUUUUGGGAAUAGGGGAGAGGAAAAAAAGAAAAAAAUGUAAAAAAUCAGCAGAGAGAGAGGCGGGCUGCCGAAUGGAGGGAAAAUCAAUCGGGGGAGGGCCGGCCAAUUGGGAAACGGAGGAAGAAAAAAAUAAUAAAAAAAAGGAAGAAAAUCAUGAAGAGUGGAGAGGGGGGCUUUUAGACGUGAGAGAGCAUGGGUUAGGUGAGGGUAGGUGGAGGAAGAGAAGAGAGAAGAGGGAGGAGAGAGGAAAGAAAAAAAUAAUAAUAAAUAUAUAUAUAUAUAUAUCAUAUAAUAUAAUAUAAUAAUAACAAAAAAAAUAAAAAAAUAAAAAAAUAAUUUAUAAAAUAAUAAAAACGAGAAAUUAAAGGAUGAAUAGACUUAAAAUUGAACUUAAAAUUAAUAUAAAAAUAAAAUUAAAAUAAAUUUUGAACUCUACAUAUAUAUUUAUAAAUUAAAAAGUCUAAAUUAGGUUCGAACUUAGGUCUUCCAUCAUUCAUCGACAGCUUGGCCAGAACAUUGGUUGUUGGGACAUUGUAUGAGCACAGCAUUUUUAGUUUUUAGUUGAACUACAAAAACGGAAAAAACAAUUGAUCCUCAUGUUUUAAAAGAAAGAAAUUACUGUGAAGAGUAUGAAAUAAUAUUAAAAAUAAAACAAAGUUGAAAUUCUUUUAUUCCGGUCACUGACUGAGAAAUAAGAAGAGAAACAAGAGACAAGGAGUACUGACAGCUUGAACCAAACAACCAGCUGCAUCAGACCAGAGUCAGAUGGAAGUUGGUCCAUUUAGCCCAGAGCUUCAUUCUACAUGACAAACACACUGAACCUAAAAGCUUAUCCUAAAUUAAUUAAGUAGAUGGUGGUUCUUUGGGGAUCACCCCAUUUUCUCUCGCUGCCGACACUCCAUUCUCUUUCACCUCUUCACCUGACAUUUCCUUCUCUUUCACUUCUCCAGCAGUUGCCUCCUUCUCCUUCCCUUCUUUCUCGGCCUUUAGCCUCUCCUCUUCCUCUUCCUUCUCUGCCUUCACCCUCGCUUCUUCCUUGGCGGUCUCAAGGGCCUGAAUCAAAUUCUCCAAACAAGCUGUCCCAGGAUCAUCAGUACUGAUGGACUUGGGCAUCAAAUUUUCCGCAACAUCAGCAGGAGUCAUAUUGGUUUCCUCCAACAAUCUGCGGAUGCUUGCAAACAAAUGGUGGGAGUCCAGAUCCAAGUAAUUCUUUGCAAGCACCUUGAAUGCUUCAAAGCAACAGUAGGAUAAUUCUAUGUGCCUGUCCAUCCUCCCUCUCCUUAUGAGAGCAGGAUCAAGUUUUUCCACGUGAUUGGUGGUGAAAACUAUGAGUCUCUCUUCGCCACAAGCUGACCACAGCCCAUCAAUAAAAUUCAGAAGCCCGGAUAGAGUAACCUUGCUUUCUUUGCUUUCACCUUCUUUCCCCUUCUUAGGAAUUGGAUUAUCCUUGGACUCUUCGUCCUCCUCUUCCUUUUCCUUCUUUUUCUUACGUUGGCCUGUGAGGUCAAGCGAACAGUCGAUGUCCUCUAUCACAAUGAUGGACUUACUCGUUGUCUCGAUCAGUAGCUUCCGCAGCUCCGUGUUGUCCUUAACGGAAGUGAGUUCAAGAUCAUAGAUAUCAUAAUUCAAAAGGUUAGCCAUGGCAGCAAUCAUGCUCGACUUGCCAGUUCCUGGAGGACCAUGAAGGAGAUACCCUCUCUUCCAAGCCUUCCCAAUUUUUGAAUAAUAAUCUUUCCUCGUGCGGAAGAUGGUGAGAUCAUUAACAAUUUCCUCCUUCUUCUUUGACUCCAUUGCUAGAGUCUCAAAUGUGGCUGGGUGCUCAAAGGCCACAUGACUCCACACGGACUUUUUGUAUCCAUGCCAAUUGUCACUUGGAUUGUUAGUGCAGAGCUUUCGCUGCCGAUUUCUGACUGCAAUUGCCUUCCCCUCCUUUAUCACAUGAUUGAGAUAAGACCCCACGAUCAAAUCUCGGUACUGUUGAUGGAAAGUGAGCCUAUAGUACCUCUUCUCAUCAGCAGCAGGAUAAAAAGAAAUGGCCUGCAUUUUAGGGGGACUUUUAUUGGAAACCCACCAAAGCUUGACCCCCUGGAAUUCAUCCGUGACUUCUUCAUGGUCAUCCAUGCUGAGGACUACAGAUUGGCUGUCUUUGAUGAUAUCUGCCUUGAGCCGCUUGGCCCGGGCAGAUGAAUUAGCACUGAGGUAGUUCUCAAUGGCAGCAUAGGCUUCGCUGCGCUUGCGUCUGAAGCUAUUUUCAGUGAACUCCUGGAAAGUGAUUUGAAUGUAAGGGUACACAAAGCUCACCAACUUUUGGCUGUACUUUUCAAUAUAGGGCCGGAGCUGGUAAGGGAAGUAUUGCUGAAACAUGGCCCAGAGAAAGAUUGCCCCAGCGGCUACCGAGCCUAGUUGACCAAACAUCUCCCCCAUCACCACCUUCUUCUCCAAAGUUUUCGAGUAUUAGUGGUAAAAUGUGUUUGUAAGGAUUGAACGUUGCUUGCCGAUUAUAUAGAGGAGCAAAACCGACACUGAUAUUCAUCAUCUCACAAGUUCUAUUCUGUGGCCACCGCCAACGACGACAUUUCAAGCUCUAUUUAGUGGCUUCGUCACCAAGGAAAAUUCCCAUUUUCUUGUACCAGCAGCCACCUUUGACGAUAUUAAUCGACCGUGGAAUACUGGAAUGGGUGGAAAUUUCAUUCUGAAGGCCAUCGAUAACUGCAUAAAUGUAUUAGAUUGCAGUUCAAUAUAAUUAUGUUUUGACUUUUGAGUCAUGGCUAAAGACAAUUCUAGUUUCAUUCUUCAAAAAAUGACGUACGUUUGGAGAUAAAUUUUUUAAUUAUCAUAUCUUAAAUUAUUUUUAAAAAAAAAUCGAUAUCCUUGUGUUCUAUAUUUUAGGUUAUAUUUAAUUUUCAAAAAUACUAUAAAAAAAAGGUAAAAAUAAUUAUUUGCUCAUAUUUGAUUAUUCUAUAAAAAAUUUUAAAUAUAAUUAAUAUUAGUUAAAAUUUUAUAUAUUAAAAAAUUAAAAUAAAUAAAAUAAAUUUAUGUAAUUUAUAAAUAAAAAAUUAUUAUUUUUAUUUUUUUCUUAUAUAUUUUUUCAAAUUUUUGGAAACAUAACCUUAGUCUUCUCGAAGCUCAUAUUUGAAUUUGAAAUUUCAACUUGUUUGGUUGUUGGAAAGCUUCCAGAAAAGUGGAAAAACAGGAGAAAAUCAAAAGAAAAAAACAAGUAAAAGAUAGUUUAAAUUUAAUCAAUUAUUCCCCACUUUUCUCCUUAGCAUAAAGAAUGUGUCCCCAUACACUUUAAAGAAAAAUAAAAGAUUAUUUAAAUUUAAAUAAUUUAAAUACUGAAGUUCAUAAAUAAUCUUUCUCUUCGUAUUUAAUUUUCUUCCAUUCUCAACUUGUUUAUUGGGUUGAUGAUGCAAUCAGCUGAUAUCAUCAAUUUUUUUUUCACAUGCCUAAAUUGUCCUUAUUACAAUUAUUUUUAAUUAACAUAUAAUUAUCUUAAUUAGUAUAAAUUAAGGAAAAUUAAUCAUAAUCAGCAUUAAAGUAACCAAUACAUUUAAUUCAAACCAUAAAAUCUUAUAUCUUCUUCAAUAAAAAAAACUUCAAUUUCUCAUCUCAUUUUUAUUUUUUAAAUUUCUCCUAGGACACGAGAGAAAUUACAAUAAUAAAUAAAUAAAUAAAUAUAUAAAAGAAUUAGAGUUUGAAAGUAAUUUUAAAAAAUAGUUUUUGUAAAUAAUUUUUAAAAAUAUUUUUAAUUGUUUUGAGGAAUAAUUUUUUUUUUUUGAGAAUUUAAAUAUAGAAAUUUUUUUUAUGAAACUAUUAUAUACUUUUAUAUAAUACAAAAUAUUCUUUGUAUUUUUUAUUUUUAAUUGUUGUUCGAAAUUCUUUAUAAAAAUAUAUAUAAAUUUUGUUUUAAAAAAUCAACAUGUUCUCAAAAAGUCAUUUUUUAAAGUUAGAAAAUUAUUUUUUAUCUUAAACAAUAAAAUUUUAUUUUCAAGAAAACUUUCCAAACAGGUCUAAGAGUUUUGAAAGAAAAGGAAAGGCACUUGACACUUUCUCCACCAAAAUUUAAAUAAAAAAAAAAAUUGAUAAAAACUAAAGAAGAUAAAAAAGGAUAAAGAGUUGUGGACCGACCCACCAGCACGGCUAAGCUCGUCCCAAGGGAUCAUGGGCCAUACUGGGCUGUCCAUUUGUCUUGGACGGGCCGAGCACUAUCUUCAGGCGGCUUGCGCAGCCUGUUGGAACGGCCCGUUUUACGCGGACAUGAUUUCAGCAACUCAGCUAGAUGUUCUUGUUUUUUAGUUUUAGUUUUAUUUUUUAUUUUGGGGAAAAAAAAGGCGGAAAAAUGAUGGGAAAAAGCCUUGUUUUACACGGCUUGGACGAACCAAAUUUGGAAACUUCAUGCAUAAUUCACCCUUUAUUAAAUUAUAUGAAUUAUAAUAUAGUCUAUUUACAAAAAUAUUAAUAUACACUUUAUUAAUAAUUUAAUUUAAUUUCUUGCAUGACGAGCUUGAGCUCUUAGAAAAAAAGUAACGCUAAAGACCAUAUGUUUGAACUUAUUAAAUGAAGAGAAAAGACAAUUCAAUCUUAUCAUAUCUUCGAAAGUAAAAAAUUAGUCACACUCAUUACAAUUGAAAACAUAUCCACAAAAGUUUUGAUACAAAUAAGAUAUUGAAAAUGUUUAAAUCGGGAUGAAUCAUGAAACUUAUAUGACUCACAAUAAUCACAAAACCACUGACAAUACAUAUGAAAAAAAAAUAAACCUUGUACUUGAUGAAGUAAAAAGUCCAUAAUUGAAAGUCGAUAUAAUUAAAUGCACUAAAAUCAAUUACCUAACGAUUAAAGUGAUUGUCUUGCAAGAGUGAGAAAGCAAAAGCAUUACAACAAUUACCCAUGUUUAAAUGACUUAUCAUCUCUUGAACUUGAUUUGUAAGUUGGUUGAUGGGUAUUAUCAAAUUUUGCAUGUUUAGAUCACACUUGGACAAUGUUGCAAUAGUUGUGUGAGAAGUCUUUCAAAGUGUAGAUUUCUCUUUCAUAUUAUACUUCAUAUGGCCAAUUUUUAAAAAUGUAUAUGCAAGGUGAAAUUUAAGUUAUAUUGUCGAGGACUAAAUUUUGUGGCAAACGCAAAAUCUUCAUUUGUCUUUGGUUUUUGCAUUGUUCCAAACAUAAAUUGAUCUUCCUCUACUUUCUUUGAGUAAAAAAAGUUUUUUCAAGUCUCCCUGACUUCAAACUCUGAUAAUACAUAAUCAAUACUAAUAAAAGAAAGAGUAUAAUGAAGUACAAAAGUUAUAACAAACUCAAAAUUAUCUAAAAAAGCCAUUAGAAAUUACACAAGAUGUAAUUCUUCUUUGUAAUUGUUACGAAAUAAUGAGACUAGACAAUAAGAAAACAAAAUAAGAACAUAUAGAUUUACAUGAAAAUCCUAGGUGGAAAAAACCGUAAGCAUAGGAGAAGAAGAUCCACUAUGUCAAAAAAUAGUACAAAAGAGAAGAGUUGUGAAUGGUUACAAUAAAAGUAUAAUUAUCAUAACAUUAAAACUAUACAUCAUCAUCUAUAUAUAUAUACCUAUCCGCCCAAUCCCUCCACUACCACUACAAACCCUCCAAAAAAAUCUCAAAAUUAGCUAUACCACAUAUGUCACACCACAAGCUUUUCAAGAUUGGCAAAAGAGAAAUCGGGUCACCAAACUCUAAUAGUAUGAAUACUAUAAUUGAGCAUCAACAAUCCACUUUGGCUCCAUAUGAGCAAAUUCAUAUGAGAGAAUUAAGAUUUCACCAUGAAAUUUAAAAUUAAUUGCUUUUUCUUUUGUUUUCAAUCACAAAUAUCAAUCUCAAGUUUGUAUUUUCGUGUGAAGUUUAUUUAAACAUAAUAUUCUACAAGAAAAUCCCAACAUAUACAAGAAAAUACCAUUGUUACAUACAGAUGACUAUAAAAAAUAGUCAAUCAUAGAAGAAAGAUGACAACGGAAAGUAAUUAUUAUUAUGGGAAGGAUGACCGACAAAAAUAAACAACCAUCAAAUACCAACAAUGACCACGUCUUGCUAUCAUCUUCUCCUUUUCUUCUUCAAAAGCUAUGAACAACUAAAUUCAUAAUCCAUGUUAUAAAUUAUUAUUUUUUCCCCUUUUUUCUUAUCUCUCACUCCUCUUGUUUAUUCUCCCCUCUUCCUCUUACAUGUUUCGUGAUUUUUCCAAAUAUUUCUUUGUGCUAGAAAUAUAUUUCCACAAUCCAUUCCCUUUCAAGAAAUUGUUCAUCAAAUAAGAUCACUGGUUAUAAUUUGAUUUGCCGAACCUAACACAGACAGAUUGGGAUAGAUUAGAGGAGGCCUUUGAAAAAGAAAACCACAGGAAAUAAAAAUCUGUGACCUAAACUGAAGAGAAAAGCUACCAAAGCACCUUUCUUGCUAAUUCACGUGAUCUGAAUGAGAGUCCCGCCCUCGAGUUUUUCUUUCCCAUAGUAAGCGUAGAGAUUCUUCACACCAGGCCCACCACAGUAACAGAGGAAUGGAAAAAAUUAUUCAAAGAGAUAAAGGAUUUGAUAGCAUAGAAACUUUUCUACAUAGAAUUUUACAGACCAUUCUAUUAAACUUUAGGAUUAAUGAACAUCAUACACACAUAUGCAUACAAGUACAUGAAAUGAUCUAAAGCCAAUACUACACAAUCAGAGAAAUAUAUUCACAGCCCACGAGGUCGAUUGUGGUUAGACUACCCCAUUUUCUUUCACUGCAACUCCAUUCUGUUUCUCUUUCUCACCUGACGCUUCCUUCUCUUUCACUUCUCCAGCAGUUGCCUCCUUCUCCUUCCCUUCUUUCUCGCCCUUUAACCUCUCUUCUUCCUCCUCCUUCUCUUUAGCUUCCUUCUCGGCCUUCACCCUCGCUUCUUCCUUGGCGGUCUCAAGGGCCUGAAUCAAACUCUCCAAACAAGUUGUCCCAGGAUCACCAGUGACGGACUUGGGCAUCAAAUUUUCCGCAACAUCAGCAGGAGUCAUAUUGGUUUCCUCCAACAAUCUGCGGAUGCUUGCAAACAAAUGGUGGGAGUCAAGAUCCAAGUAAUUCUUAGCCAGCACCUUGAAUGCUUCAAAGCAACAGUAGGAUAAUUCUAUGUGCUUGUCCAUCCUCCCUCUCCUUAUGAGAGCAGGAUCAAGUUUUUCCACAUAAUUGGUGGUGAAAAUUAUCAGCCUCUCUUCCCCACAAGUUGACCACAACCCAUCAAUAACAUUCAGGAGCCCCGAUAGAGUAACUUUGCUUUCUUUGCUUUCACCUUCUUUUUCCAUUUUACGAAUUGGAUCCUUCUUCUCUUCCUCA